rnacentral:other from 1 species
GAUUCCCUGCCCCGUGCGUGAUGGUUCGAUUUAUUGAGCCAACACUCUAGUCGCGGGCAGCCGGUGUCCGGAGUCGAAGGCCACACCCCCUCGGGGGUCGGCCGUGGACCUCGGCAGGCCGCCCACCAUGAAGCAAUGGUUCAAUUGCUUCCGACCACGCGGCUGGGCGGGGAAUCU